GAUCCUGGCUCAGAUUGAACGCUGGCGGCAGGCCUAACACAUGCAAGUCGAGCGGUAGAGAGGUGCUUGCAUCUCUUGAGAGCGACGGACGGGUGAGUAAUGCCUAGGAAUCUGCCUAGGUNUGGGGGGGGGAUAACGUUCGGAAACGGACGCUAAUACCGCAUACGUCCUACGGGAGAAAGCGGGGGAUCUUCGGACCUCGCGCCAUUAGAUGAGCCUAGGUCGGAUUAGCUAGUUGGUGAGGUAAUGGCUCACCAAGGCGACGAUCCGUAACUGGUCUGAGAGGAUGACCAGCCACACUGGGACUGAGACACGGCCCAGACUCCUACGGGAGGCAGCAGUGGGGAAUUUUGGACAAUGGGCGCAAGCCUGAUCCAGCAAUGCCGCGUGCAGGAAGAAGGCCUUCGGGUUGUAAACUGCUUUUGUACGGAACGAAACGGUCCGCUUUAAUACAGUUUGCUAAUGACGGUACCGUAAGAAUAAGCACCGGCUAACUACGUG
rnacentral:rRNA from 1 species